GUGACUCUAACCAAGCAAGUGAAAGAUCUGUAUGAUAAGAACUUCAAGUCGCUGAAGAAAGAAAUUAGAGAAGACCUCAGAAGACUGUUGAUGUUGACAAGAGGCAGUUGCUGACAUGAAUCUGGUUUGACUGUUCCUUGGGUGAUUCUGCCAGCAACUGACCAAUGCAGAUGUGGAUGCUUGGAAACAACCAUCAGACUGAGCUUGGGAAUCCCAUUGGGGGAGCUAGUGGAAGGACUGGAGGAGCAGAGGAGGAUUGUAACCCCAUGAGAAGAACAAUGUUGGCUGGCCAGACCACCCAGGGUUCCCAGGGACUAGACCACUAACAAAGGAAUGUAGAAUGAGGGAACCAUGGUUACAGAUACAUAUGUAGCAGAGGACAGCCUUGUCUGACACCAAUGGGAAGGGAAGACCUUGGUUCUGUGGAGGGUAGUGACCCGAGGAACAUCUUAUCCCUCAGCCAAGAUACAUAACAGGGACAAGGCAUUGCCAGAGAUGAAAGGAUAUCUCCCACCCAUAUGUUUUCCAGAAACUCAAGAAGAAAUUGGUGUUGAUCUGGAGUCUCUUAAAGCUCCAGCUACUGGAAUACUUCUUGAAUGCAGACCAACCAGAGCAGAGCCCACCUGCCCUCCUGUCCACACAGUUGUCCGCUGCUAUGAACCAGAGCAGAGCCCAGCCGCCCUCCUGUCCACACAGUUACCAGCUGCUGUGAACCAGAACCGCCUGCAUGAAGAACUCACUCUACAAAGAGAAAUUGUAAAAUUUAAAUGACAUUAAUUUGUAUAAAAUAACCUGCCCUGCUGGAAACCAGUGUUUGGAUUUGGUACUUAAAUGAUGUUUUUGGAGUGAAAAUUAGUGCUAAGAUAAUAUAUGACUCCAGCAAAAAUAGUAUUUUAUUGUAUUAAUGGGUUCUAUAUUGAUUUGCCAAAUUUUUUGACUGAGUAAAGGCAUUCUUAUCCUUGAAAAAAAAAUGGCCUACAUAGGCUGGUAUGUUUGAACUCUUGGUCCUUAGCUGGUGGAACUGUUUGGGAAGCAUUAGGAGUCAUGGCCUUUUGGAGGAGGAAUGUCACUGGAAAUUUUGAGGUUUCAAAAGCCCAUUCUACUCCUAUUGUGCUCUCUGCCUCUGGCUUAUAAAUUGAGAUAUAACUAACACACGUACACAUUAAUAUUUUCUUUUAUUAAAGAUGGAAGAAAACUU